UAAUACGUAGGCAGCAAGCGUUGUUCGGAAUUACUGGGCGUAAAGAGUGCGUAGGUGGUUGGCUAAGUUUGGUGUGAAAUCUCCCGGCUCAACUGGGAGGGUGCGCCGAAAACUGGUCAACUAGAGUGUGGGAGAGGGAAGUGGAAUUCCUGGUGUAGCGGUGAAAUGCGUAGAUAUCAGGAGGAACACCUGCGGUGUAGACGGCUUCCUGGACCAUUACUGACACUGAGGCACGAAAGCGUGGGGAGCAAACAGGAUUAGAUACCCUGGUAGUCCACGCCCUAAACGAUGCAAACUUGGUGUGCGCCCUUCAUUGGGUGCGUGCCGAAGCUAACGCGUUAAGUUUGCCGCCUGGGGAGUACGGUCGCAAGGCUG
rnacentral:rRNA from 1 species